rnacentral:rRNA from 1 species
AGUGAACGCUGGCGGUAGGCCUAACACAUGCAAGUCGAACGGCAGCACAGGAGAGCUUGCUCUCAGGGUGGCGAGUGGCGGACGGGUGUGGAAUACAUCGGAAUCUACUCUGUCGUGGGGGAUAACGUAGGGAAACUACGCUAAUACCGCAUACGACCUACGGGUGAAAGCAGGGGAUCUUCGGACCUUGCGCGAUUGAAUGAGCCGAUGUCGGAUUAGCUAGUUGGGGGGGUAAAGGCCCACCAAGGGGACGAUCCGUAGCUGGUCUGAGAGGAUGAUCAGCCACACUGGAACUGAGACACGGUCCAGACUCCUACGGGAGGCAGCAGUGGGGAAUAUUGGACAAUGGGCGCAAGCCUGAUCCAGCCAUACCGCGUGGGUGAAGAAGGCCUUCGGGUUGUAAAGCCCUUUUGUUGGGAAAGAAAUCCAGCUGGCUAAUACCCGGUUGGGAUGACGGUACCCAAAGAAUAAGCACCGGCUAACAUCGUGCCAGCCGCCGCGGUAA